rnacentral:lncRNA from 1 species
UCCACUGAUUCCCCCGGGGACAGCGUUGGAGCCAAAAAAGUGCAUCAAGUGACAAUGACGCAGCCCAAACGCACCUUCACCACAGUCCGGACCCCAAAGGACAUUGCAUCAGAGAACUCCAUUUCCAGGUUGCUGUUCUGCUGCUGGUUCCCCUGGAUGCUGAGGGCGGAGAUGCAGUCUUAGAGGCCCUGGACACCUGACAAAGAGACAGAGUCCCCACUAGCAUCUCCUGACACCCGAGGAGCCCUGAGUCACCCUGAGAUAGAGAUUCCCAGUAACACAUCCAGAGUAGAGACCCCUGUUAGCCAGCCCUCGAUCAUUGAGGCCCCAUUAUUAACAGAUACUCCCAUAAUAACCCCCAAAUACAGACCCCAUGUCACCCAGAAAGAGAUUCCCUGAGUAGCACCUUCAGGCUAGUCCCUAUCCCCAACCCCUCAGAGCAGAUUCCCAGAUUAACAGAUUUCCAUAUCACCCCAAAUGAUGGUGACCCUCUCCACAUAAUGCAUUACAACAGAACAUUCUUGAAUCACCCAACCCUGGAUCAGAAACCUCCCCAUUAACAAACACUGCCCCUUAAGUCCUCUUGAAAUAAACAUAGGUCAC